GAUGAACGCUGGCGGCGUGCCUAAUACAUGCAAGUCGAGCGAACGGACGAGAAGCUUGCUUCUCUGAUGUUAGCGGCGGACGGGUGAGUAACACGUGGAUAACCUACCUAUAAGACUGGGAUAACUUCGGGAAACCGGAGCUAAUACCGGAUAAUAUUUUGAACCGCAUGGUUCAAAAGUGAAAGACGGUCUUGCUGUCACUUAUAGAUGGAUCCGCGCUGCAUUAGCUAGUUGGUAAGGUAACGGCUUACCAAGGCAACGAUGCAUAGCCGACCUGAGAGGGUGAUCGGCCACACUGGAACUGAGACACGGUCCAGACUCCUACGGGAGGCAGCAGUAGGGAAUCUUCCGCAAUGGGCGAAAGCCUGACGGAGCAACGCCGCGUGAGUGAUGAAGGUCUGCGGAUCGUAAAACUCUGUUAUUAGGGAAGAACAUAUGUGUAAGUAACCGUGCACAUCUUGACGGUACCUAAUCAGAAAGCCACGGCUAACUACGU
rnacentral:rRNA from 1 species